rnacentral:rRNA from 1 species
UACGUAGGGUGCAAGCGUUGUCCGGAAUUAUUGGGCGUAAAGAGCUCGUAGGCGGUUUGUUGCGUCGGCUGUGAAAACCUGAGGCUCAACCUCAGGCCUGCAGUCGAUACGGGCAGACUAGAGUGUUGCAGGGGAGACUGGAAUUCCUGGUGUAGCGGUGAAAUGCGCAGAUAUCAGGAGGAACACCGGUGGCGAAGGCGGGUCUCUGGGCAACAACUGACGCUGAGGAGCGAAAGCGUGGGGAGCGAACAGG